UACGAAGGGGGCUAGCGUUGCUCGGAAUCACUGGGCGUAAAGCGCACGUAGGCGGAUUGUUAAGUCAGGGGUGAAAUCCUGGAGCUCAACUCCAGAACUGCCUUUGAUACUGGCGAUCUUGAGUCCGGGAGAGGUGAGUGGAACUGCGAGUGUAGAGGUGAAAUUCGUAGAUAUUCGCAAGAACACCAGUGGCGAAGGCGGCUCACUGGCCCGAUACUGACGCUGAGGCACGAAAGCGUGGGGAGCAA
rnacentral:rRNA from 1 species